rnacentral:lncRNA from 10 species
UAAUCCACACAAUACUUCAACAAGCAUUUAUUAAACGCCUACUAUGUGCUCAGCACUAUACUAGGCACUCGGGGGUGCAGAGAUACAAAUGUAAAAGUUAUUAUUCCUGCCCUCAAGGAGCUUACAAUUUAAUUUUGGAAAUAAAUACAAAUAUGAAACUGUAACACAGAGUGCUAGAAAAUAAUUACAAAGCAACAUAUUAGUAAGUACAUGGACCACAGUACAAACUCAAAAGAUAAGUGCUGAGGCAGCACAGAAUGAGGGAGGUCAUCGCAUGAGGUGAUGUCAAUCAGGGAGAGCUCAGUCAGAAGAUAUAAAGGAAGAAAGGCUUUGAAGGGAGUGAUGAACAUGAGCUGGGACCAAAGAGCAAUCUAAGCAAAAAGAAUAGCAUGAGAAAGGCACAGAGGCAAGAGCUUGUAAGACAUCAGUAGAAGGCUGUAGGAAGUUUGAAUCUGUUGAAUCAAGGUGAAUAUGCUAGAGAGUAAUGAAGGCUGAUGAAUAUUAGGCAUAGAGGUAAUGGAGAAUUUGGAACACCACUGCUCCAUAGGAAUUAUCUACUGGGUGUUACUUAGUGAAAAUGAAAUUUUACAAUAGAGAUAUUGUAAAAAUGGGUGUUUGAGGAGGAUCGUCUUUGAAAAAUUAUCUACUGGGUGUUACUGAAAAUGAAAAUUUUACAAUACGGAUAUUGUAAAAAUGGAGUUUGAGGAGGAGCACCUUAGAAACUUUAUACAAGAUGGGGAUCCUGGGAGCAAGGAAAUUGGAAAAAAAAGAAUUACAGUAACCUGGGCCUCAGAUCUACAUGAAAAGCUAUAAUGGGAUGAGAGAAAUGGGAGAUCAAGCCUCAAGGAGAAAACUGAUUAAAAACUGGACUGACAGCAAGUUUUUGGACAUGGAGAAUGGAGAGCAGAAAAAGAUAACUCCAAGGCUGGGGUAAAAAUAUAAAGGUGGUGACACUUUUCAGGGCAAAGGAAUUACGCAAUGAGGCCUGUUUAAAAAGAAAACGGGGGCUGGGGAUAUAUGGUGAUGAAUCCUGUUUUCAAAUAUCAAGUUGUACAGGUACCUGUGGAAAAUUCCAAAAGUCACAAACUGACCCACAGGGUGGGAAAAAUGAAGUCAUUCGAAUACAAAUAGUAGGUAUAAACAAUCAAAAUGGAUAAAUAGGAGUAUAGAAAAUGAAGUGAAUAAAAGACAGGGAGAUUAUUCUCAGUGGAGAAGAGGAGAAAGGGGAGUGGGUGGAAAGAUCAACUAAAAAAAGAAAGACAGAGUCUUUUCUCACACCCAAUAUAACACUAAUUUUUCUAGUCAUAUUAUUUUCUCCAAAUUUAUGCCACAUGCUUAGUAAUUCUGAGAUUUAAGUAAUCUGGCUACAUAUUACUCUUAAUACUGACACAUAAAGAGACUUUAGCUAGUACAUCUGUAUACAUUUCAAUGUGUUGCUCUGGUCUAUGGCCAUACCACCCUGAAUGCACCCAAUUUUGUUAAUAUGUUGCAUUGCUAAAAGGACUUU